ensembl:lincRNA B230112J18Rik RIKEN cDNA B230112J18 gene
GUGGAAAGGCCUAAGAUUUCUGUAAAAGCAGGGGUCAGUGAAUUAAAAUUCUCCCAGGAGCGAAGGGCCUCUGAAUGCUUAUUUCUGAUAAUCUUAUUUAUGUCCCGGGCCACGCCCCCAUCACACCCCCACUCCAAAGGCUUCUCUUGUGCUGCCUGUGCCCUGGACUACUCACUGACUGACCUUACCUGCCUUUGGGGAUUGGAGGUGAGGUGGUCUGGUGUCAACAGUACAGACUCCAGGAGUAGGUGAGAAACCCCGUGGCAAGAUCAUCUGAGCGCUGCUAACAGCCCGAUGGAUGAGGAGAGUCACGCACACACCCGUCUACAGACCCACUUUACAGAUGGAGUGACGAGCUGAGAUGAACUAGUGGGCAGAGAGCCAAUCCAGAGGAAACCAAGCAUGCAGCCAGCGAGUCAGACAUUUGUGGUAAUUGGGAAAACAUUGCACCUGCCCCACUGGAGACAUGGAUGUUAGAUUUGGUUUUAGGUAUACAUUCCAAGUACUGUGUAUGACUGCUUUCCCCAAGGACCCUCUGGGAGCAUGAGACAGGGAGGACAGGAAAGAAUCUCUGAUAAUAAAAAAACAAAAACAAAACAAAA